rnacentral:rRNA from 1 species
GAUGAACGCUGGCGGCAUGCCUAACACAUGCAAGUCGAACGGGAAGACGUGUAUCCAGUGCCGUUCGGGUUAGCAACGCGCGGGAACGUGACCUGUGGAUGGGAACCUCAUCUGGCAAGGGCUGCUACUAACCCGUAGGUAGAGUAGCAAAGGAUAGAAUCCGCCGGAGGAGGCGCUCGGGUUUGAUUAGUUAGUUGGUUGGGCAAUAGGUUACCAAGUCGAUUAUCAGUAGCUGACCCGAGAGGACGAUCGGCCACACUGGGACUGAGCCACGGGCCAGACUCCGACUGGAGGAAGCAGUAGGGAACAUCGGGCAACGGGCGUAAGCAUGAUGCAGCAAUGCGGCGUGGGUUAAGAAGGCCUUGGGGUGGUAAAGCACUGUUGUUAGGGAAGAAGAACUGCUUUUCAAGGAGAAGAAGUAAUGACGGUACCUAAAGAAUAAGCACCGGCUAACUCCGUG